CCGGAAACUCUGGACAGGACCCUGACAGCCUGAGCACCGAGUGGGGCCCAGGAAACUGGAAUCCAGACUUAACGCCAAUCACUUGUUCCAGCAAACUGAGCCAUCUCUAUCAGGGUAACCCACAAAUGCAGUUUUAGGAUUGCACUGGAUAACAAACUGUCUGUAGAGGGUAUGAAAUCAGACCACAAUUUCACAAUCUCAUCCAGCCCUUUAUGUGUAUUUGAAGAGUCCUCAUCUUAAGAUGUGACAAAGUAGCACGUGCAGAAGAAUGAAAGUAUGUUCCUUUCUUUUCUCAAAGGAUGCCUUCAAAAGACAGGGUCUUACUACAUAACCUUGGCUGUCUUAAACCUCACUACGUAGACCAUUGAUCAUAGAGACCCACGUGCCUCUGCCUCCCAACUGAGUGCUGGGAUCAAAGGAUGAAGCUUGAGAGAAAUGGGGAUUUAGCAUGCCUUCUGCACAUAAGCAUCAGCAUCUGGAUUUCCCUGGGUCAGAAGACUAGAGGAAGCUAUGCUCUUCCUUCCCUGAUGAUUCAGUAGUCUCUGCUCUGACCGAUGAGGAGAUGAGUCAGCAUAAAAGGUUGGAUGGCACAUUGGGAAUUCAGUUAGAAAUUUCACUGCUCUAUCAAUGACUGGAGAAGGGCCUGUACAUCAGCUUUCUCAUGUGCCUGGAAGCCCUCUGGAUCUGGAGUUUUAUUUGGAGGAUGUUUGAAAUUACUCUUCAGCUUCUCUUAAAGAUGGCAGGUUAUAAAGUUUUACACAUCUGCUUUAGUCAGUUUGAUCCCUUACAUUUCCCCCGAAAUUUAACCAUUUCACAACACAAUUCAAAUCAAUCGAGGUAAACUUGUUUGUGAUAUUGUCCUGGCAGCUCGAUAGCUACAGGCUAGCGCUCUCUCUCUCUCUCUCUCUCUCUCUCUCUCUCUCUCUCUCUCUCUCUCUCUCUCUCUCUCUCCCUUAGUGUUUCUGUUCUUGCUACCUGUGCUCCCCCUCUUCUUCUCUAGCUCCAUCCCAAUGAGUGUUGAUGCCAACAAAGGCCCCUUUCAAAAGAAAUAGGCAUCCCUAGCUAUACUAUUUCAGGCAAUUAUUGUCUUGUUUUAAUUUCUUUAUUGUUUCAGAGUCUUACUCUGCAGCCCUGGGUAACUGGGCGUUCACUAUAAACUGGGCUAGCCUAGAACUUGCCUCUGCUUCCCAAGUCCUGAGAUUAAACACAUGCACCACCACUCCUGGCCUGUUUUUUUAAAUUUUUAAAAUGCCUCCAGCUCUAUGUUCGUUGCUUCUCCAUCCAAAAUUACUUGGGCGUAAACUGUUAUCCAAUUCUGAGUGUUCAGCUGAAAUGUCUAGUUUGUAGUUUUUGGAAACCUGCUUCAUGGGGGCUUAAUGCUAUAAAUUUCUAAGUGUGGCUUUAGUUGCAUCCCAUAUAGAAAUGUACUUAUUUAUUUUCUAAUUUUGGAAUUCUUUUUCUCUGAUAUAUGAGUUAUCCAUAACUACAUUUUUUCUAAACUUCCAGACAUAUGGGAACUUUGCAUUAUAUUUUGGCAUUGCUUUCUAGCUUAAUUGUACCAUAGUAAAUAUAAUUUAUAUGUAUAAAUUAUAUAUAUAAAUUAUAUAUAAAAAUUAUAUAUAUAUAUGCACACACAUACAUCAAGACGUCUGUCUUAAACUCUCCAAGGCUUGCUGGGGAAAACUGAAUUAAUUUCCCAACAUGCCCCACUCUUUGUAUUUCCUUCUGCAGUAGAAUUGGCUAUAAUCAUCCUUCCUGUCCCGCUGAUGUCAUUUUGAAAUCACAAUGUCUGGUUUAUCCAAUAAAUUGCAAGUAGAGAGAGUUCAGAACUCCCGCUGUCCACCCUUGUCCCAGACAGAGACAGCUUUGUCAUUCUAAAUCAAAUCAUGGAAUGAUGAACAUGUGUCGAUGGAUCUCAGUGGCCCCUGGGCUCAUGUCAUUAGAGCAUAGUUCAGACUCUGCAGUGGGUGCUGGGGACUGAACUCAGGUCCUCUGAAAGAGCACCAAACUCUCUUAACCACUGAUUCAUCUCUCCAGCCACUUGGAUAUUUUUUUAAUCCAUAUAAAACUGUCAAAAGCCAGGUGGUGGUGGCACAUGUCUUUAAUCCCAUCACUCAGGAGGCAGAGGCAGGCAGAUCUCUGUGAGUUUGAGGCCAGCCUGGUCUACAGAGCAAGUGCCAGGAUAGGCUCCAAAGCUACAGAGAAACCCUGUCUAGAAAAAAAAAAACUGUCAAUCAGCCCAAUUUAUUUCUCUUUCAUUUCCUCUGCCCCCAUUUUAUUUUUAUCAAGUUCCAAAUUCCAAAUUCCACUUAUACUUGUUGGUAUAAGUGCUACUUCAUAAUCUCCUUUACAAUUUCCCUUACCUUUUACCUUUCUGUGCUGUGGUCUGGAGUUAAUUGUUUUUUUAUUAUUCCCUGCUGACUUGAGUCUUCUCAAAACCACCACCUCAUAAGUCUUAAUGUUUUAUUUAUUACAAGUUACCUGUCAUGACAACCCCAAUAUUUGGAACCCCUAAGUAGUCUCAUUUUUUCCUUUGGCUUUCAUGCUCAGGAGACAUGAUAUACUGCAUGUUUCAACCAAAUAGAUUAAUCCUGUUUGUAUUGUUUUUACAAAAUUGCAUGGAGAAAUAAAUCCAG
ensembl:lncRNA